GGUAGAGAAUACCAAGGCGCUUGAGAGAACUCGGGUGAAGGAACUAGGCAAAAUGGUGCCGUAACUUCGGGAGAAGGCACGCUGACACGUAGGUGAAGUGAUUUACUCAUGGAGCUGAAGUCAGUCGAAGAUACCAGCUGGCUGCAACUGUUUAUUAAAAACACAGCACUGUGCAAACACGAAAGUGGACGUAUACGGUGUGACGCCUGCCCGGUGCCGGAAGGUUAAUUGAUGGGGUCAGCGUAAGCGAAGCUCCUGAUCGAAGCCCCGGUAAACGGCGGCCGUAACUAUAACGGUCCUAAGGUAGCGAAAUUCCUUGUCGGGUAAGUUCCGACCUGCACGAAUGGCGUAAUGAUGGCCAGGCUGUCUCCACCCGAGACUCAGUGAAAUUGAACUCGCUGUGAAGAUGCAGUGUACCCGCGGCAAGACGGAAAGACCCCGUGAACCUUUACUAUAGCUUGACACUGAACAUUGAGCCUUGAUGUGUAGGAUAGGUGGGAGGCUUUGAAGUGUGGACGCCAGUCUGCAUGGAGCCGACCUUGAAAUACCACCCUUUAAUGUUUGAUGUUCUAACGUGGACCCGUAAUCCGGGUUGCGGACAGUGUCUGGUGGGUAGUUUGACUGGGGCGGUCUCCUCCUAAAGAGUAACGGAGGAGCACGAAGGUUGGCUAAUCCUGGUCGGACAUCAGGAGGUUAGUGCAAUGGCAUAAGCCAGCUUGACUGCGAGCGUGACGGCGCGAGCAGGUGCGAAAGCAGGUCAUAGUGAUCCGGUGGUUCUGAAUGGAAGGGCCAUCGCUCAACGGAUAAAAGGUACUCCGGGGAUAACAGGCUGAUACCGCCCAAGAGUUCAUAUCGACGGCGGUGUUUGGCACCUCGAUGUCGGCUCAUCACAUCCUGGGGCUGAAGUAGGUCCCAAGGGUAUGGCUGUUCGCCAUUUAAAGUGGUACGCGAGCUGGGUUUAGAACGUCGUGAGACAGUUCGGUCCCUAUCUGCCGUGGGCGCUGGAGAACUGAGGGGGGCUGCUCCUAGUACGAGAGGACCGGAGUGGACGCAUCACUGGUGUUCGGGUUGUCAUGCCAAUGGCACUGCCCGGUAGCUAAAUGCGGAAGAGAUAAGUGCUGAAAGCAUCUAAGCACGAAACUUGCCCCGAGAUGAGUUCUCCCUGAGACUUAGAGUCUCCUGAAGGAACGUUGAAGACGACGACGUUGAUAGGCCGGGUGUGUAAGCGCAGCGAUGCGUUGAGCUAACCGGUACUAAUGAACCGUGAGGCUUAACCUUACA
rnacentral:rRNA from 2 species